CACAUUCGAGGUAGACGCAGAGAACUGAAACAUCUAAGUACCUGCAGGAAGAGAAAGAAAAUUCGAUUCCCUGAGUAGCGGCGAGCGAAACGGGAAAAGCCCAAACCAGCAAGCUUGCUUGUUGGGGUUGUAGGACUCCAAUAUGGUAGUUCUUUCAGAUAGUCGAAUGACUUGGAAAAGUCAGUCAAAGAGGGUAAAAACCCCGUAGACGAAAUGUGGAAGACACCUAGGAGGAUCCUGAGUACGGCGGAACACGAGAAAUUCCGUCGGAAUCCGGGAGGACCAUCUCCCAAGGCUAAAUACUCCCUAGUGACCGAUAGUGAACCAGUACCGUGAGGGAAAGGUGAAAAGCACCCCGGAAGGGGAGUGAAAUAGAACCUGAAACCGUGUGCCUACAACAAGUCAAAGCCCGUUAAUGGGUGAUGGCGUGCCUUUUGUAGAAUGAACCGGCGAGUUACGAUUGCAUGCGAGGUUAAGUUGAAGAGACGGAGCCGCAGCGAAAGCGAGUCUGAAUAGGGCGUUUGAGUAUGUAGUCGUAGACCCGAAACCAUGUGAUCUACCCAUGUCCAGGUUGAAGGUGCGGUAAAACGCACUGGAGGACCGAACCCACGUACGUUGAAAAGUGCGGGGAUGAGGUGUGGGUAGCGGAGAAAUUCCAAACGAACUUGGAGAUAGCUGGUUCUCUCCGAAAUAGCUUUAGGGCUAGCCUCGGAAUUGAGAAUGAUGGAGGUAGAGCACUGUUUGGACUAGGGGCCCAUCUCGGGUUACCGAAUUCAGAUAAACUCCGAAUGCCAUUCAUUCAUAUCCGGGAGUCAGACUGUGAGUGAUAAGAUCCAUAGUCGAAAGGGAAACAGCCCAGACCACCAGCUAAGGUCCCAAAAUAUAUGUUAAGUGGAAAAGGAUGUGGGGUUGCACAGACAACUAGGAUGUUGGCUUAGAAGCAGCCACCAUUUAAAGAGUGCGUAAUAGCUCACUAGUCGAGUGACCCUGCGCCGAAAAUGUACCGGGGCUAAACAUAUUACCGAAGCUGUGGAGUACACCUUUAGGUGUAUUGGUAGGAGAGCGUUCUAAGGGCGUUGAAGGCAGAUCGUGAGGACUGCUGGAGCGCUUAGAAGUGAGAAUGCCGGUAUGAGUAGCGAAAGACAGGUGAGAAUCCUGUCCACCGAAUGACUAAGGUUUCCUGGGGAAGGCUCGUCCGCCCAGGGUUAGUCGGGACCUAAGCCGAGGCCGACAGGCGUAGGCGAUGGAUAACAGGUUGAUAUUCCUGUACCCGUUGUUUUUGUUUGAGCAAUGGAGGGACGCAGGAGGCUAAGGAAUGCAGACGAU
rnacentral:rRNA from 1 species